rnacentral:misc_RNA from 1 species
GUGUGAUACCACGUUCGACUUAUUUUCAAAAAAUGAAAGAACUUCGAGAUGCUGCAAAAAUGCAAGACGUUACGAGUUCUCAACAACAUUGUCACAACGAUAGUGAUUUUUUACUUGAUCCGAUGGUACCUGAUGGCGAUAAAAUGAAAAUAUCAGGAGGGCUUUUUAUUAACGAUAAAAAAAUAAAUAUUUCAAUCACAGAUAACAUAUCACGCUGUCAUGAAGAAGACAAAGAGAAUGAGAAUCUGGAAAAUAAUACCGAAAAUUCGUGGUUAUAUGAAGAUUAUAAUCAAGAAGAAGUUUGGUUUGACGCUGAAGAAUCGCCAUUAAUGUGUGAAAAUUCUAGUGAUGUACACAAAGAGGGUCAACAUAAUAUACAUAUUGCUGAUGAUAAUUAUCGCCAACCUCUUUGUAAUUGCACAUCUGUUUCUCGAGGAGAAGCACUAUUAAUGACUCUUCUAUUAGGAGUCGAAGAAUCACUUACGUGGAAGACUAUCACAUCAAUAUUAUCAAUGAUCAACACGCUGUUCGGCAAAAAUGUGGUUCCCGAUUCCAAGUAUCAAUUGUUCAAAAUAUUACACCUGAAUGAAGAUAUUAUUUCAUAUCAUUUAUUCUGCGACGAGUGUUUAUUUUACUAUGGAGAAAAAAAAAAUCAAAUAUUGAAGGAUUGGUUUGUCAGAAUUGUAAAAAUGUUAAUCCAUCACCUAAUAUUUCGUUUUUUAUAACUCUUGACAUGAGAGUACAAUUAAAGAUGAUACUGCAUGACCCAGAAAUACAGCAAGAGCUACUUAAACGUUUUGAAAGUACUGAAAAUGGUUCGGAUGAAGAUACGAUUGAAAAUAUUACUGAUGGAGAAGUUUACACUAAAUUAUCAUCAGCUAAUAAUCCUUUAUCGAGUAAAUUUAAUUUAUCGUACACAUUUAAUACAGAUGGUUGUCAAUCAUCUAAAUCCAGUAAAUUCACAACUUGGCCUAUAUAUGCGGCAAUUAAUGAAUUACCUCCAAAACUUCAAAAGAAACAUAUGAUUAUGUCAGGUAUAUGGGUCAAUAAUAAGGAACCAAACAUGCAACUUUUCUUGAAACCAUUUGUUGAUCAAGCAAAUGACUUAUCUGAGGAAGGCAUUGAAUGGACAUUAGGCGAUAAAAUUGUAAAAAGUAAAUUCAUUCCGAUUUGUGCAGUUGUUGAUUCAGUGGCAAGAUGUAAAAUGCUCAAUAUGAAACAGUACAAUGGAUUAUAUGAAUGUACUUUCUGCGAGCACCCUACGGAAUCAGUUAAUGGUUGCAGAAAAUUUACUGUUAGUACAUAUAUCCCAAAAGACCGAACUGAUGCAUCAAUAAAAAAAAAUAUGGUUCUUUCGGGUAAAAAUGAAUAUGGAAAAGAUAUUCUGGGUGUAUGGGGACCAUCCCCUUUAAUGAAUUUAAAAUAUUUUGAUCUCGUUAAUGGCAUGUCACCCGAUUACAUGUAUUCUAUUUUAUUGGGGACAAUUAAACAACACACAGAAAUUAUUUUAUCGUCGUUUGGCAAAGAAUAUUAUGUUGGAAGCCCAAAUCACUUGGAUUUUAUAAAUACUAAGCUAAUGAAUUUCAAACAUCCCACCUGUAUUACUCGAUCACCUAGGAAAAUAACGGAAAGAGAAAUUUGGAAAGCAUCUGAGUGGCGAUCAUGGCUACUCUUCUAUUCUCUGAUUUGUUUAAAAGAUGUCCUCCCUCAUAAAUAUUUAGAUCACUUAGCUCUAUUAGCAGAAGCUCUAAAUAUUUUGCUGUCUAAAAAAAUCAAGAAAGAAGAACUGAGUACAGCUGGAUAUUUGCUUAUUAAGUAUGUAAUUCUUUACCAAGAAUAUUUUGGCAAAGAAGCUAUGACUUAUAAUAUUCAUCUGCUACUACAUAUGGAAAAAAGUGUUCGAAACUUAGGACCAUUAUCAUAUCAUAAUACAUUUAAUUUUGAAAAUGAAAAUCAUUUUGUAUUGAAAAUGGAGAAAAGUCCAACCAAUCUUGCUGUUCAAGUUGCUCGAAGAUAUAUCUUUGAAAAGUCACUAACACCAUUAAAAGGUAAUAUAAGUGAAUACAAGUACAAAAUUUUUUGUGAAAGAAACUUAACAGGAAGAUUAAAAAAUACAUUUGAUAUACGAGGCUACACUCUAAUAGGUAAAGGUAAAAAUUAUGAAUUGACUGUAACUGAACGAGAACUCUUGAACACUAAAAUUAGUAACGAAAUACAGAAAUGUAAAUCUUUUAAUAGAUUUAUAUACAACAGUAACCGAUAUACUUCGAGCAAUUAUCGUUUGUGUAAAAAAAAAGAUGAUUCUCUGAUAGUGCUCAUUAACGGACAAAUAGGUCAAAUAAAAAAUAUUUGUUUCUUCGACAUGGAUGAAAAUAACAGAAAAAUUUAUAUUUUUUAUGAAGAAAUUAUUAGACAGAACUCGUAUUUCCACUCAACAAGGGAGGUAACAGUUUAUAACAUUGAGGAGUGCACAGUAACAAAUAAUCUGCAUGUAUGUGAGCCAGAUAUGAUUAAGGAACCAUGUAUUAAGACGGAAGUGAAAGACAGAGAAUAUGUCAUUCGGAUACCACAAGGAUGUCAUGGUGAUUAGAGGAAGAAUGUUUAAGCGUUGAAACAAGAAGUCAAACAUUUUAAUUUUGUCAAAUUUUGAGAAAUUCCAGCAACAAUUGGGAGAAGAUAAAAAAAAAUAUUCUUGAUGAAACUCAACAAUAUUAAAUACAAAAUCAAAGAAAGCGCGUCAAAAAAUA